rnacentral:rRNA from 1 species
CCUACGGGAGACAGCAGUGGGGAAUAUUGCACAAUGGGGGAAACCCUGAUGCAGCGACGCCGCGUGAGUGAAGAAGUAAUUCGUUAUGUAAAGCUCUAUCAGCAGGGAAGAAAAUGACGGUACCUGAGUCAGAAGCCCCGGCUAACUACGUGCCAGCAGCCGCGGUAAUACGUAGGGGGCAAGCGUUAUCCGGAUUUUCUGGGUGUAAAGGGAGCGUAGACGGCAGUGCAAGUCUGGAGUGAAAGGCGGGGGCUCAACCCCCGGACGGCUCUGGAAACUGUACGGCUGGAGUGCAGGAGAGGUAAGUGGAAUUCCUAGUGUAGCGGUGAAAUGCGUAGAUAUUAGGAGGAACACCAGUGGCGAAGGCGGCUUACUGGACUGUAACUGACGUUGAGGCUCGAAAGCGUGGGGAGCAAACAGGAUUAGAUACCCUGGUAGUC